GACGAACGCUGGCGGCGUGCCUAAUACAUGCAAGUCGAACGCACGAAGUUGAAGAGCUUGCUCUUUAACCAAGUGAGUGGCGGACGGGUGAGUAACACGUGGGUAACCUGCCCAUUAGAGGGGGAUAACAUUCGGAAACGGAUGCUAAUACCGCAUAGUUUCAGGGAUCGCAUGAUUCUUGAAGGAAAGGUGGCUUCGGCUACCACUAAUGGAUGGACCCGCGGCGUAUUAGCUAGUUGGUGAGGUAUGGCUCACCAAGGCAAUGAUACGUAGCCGACCUGAGAGGGUGAUCGGCCACACUGGGACUGAGACACGGCCCAGACUCCUACGGGAGGCAGCAGUAGGGAAUCUUCCGCAAUGGACGAAAGUCUGACGGAGCAACGCCGCGUGAGUGAAGAAGGUUUUCGGAUCGUAAAACUCUGUUGUUAAAGAAGAACAAGGAUGAGAGUAACUGCUCAUCCCCUGACGGUAUUUAACCAGAAAGCCACGGCUAACUACGUGCCAGCAGCCGCGGUAAUACGUAGGUGGCAAGCGUUGUCCGGAUUUAUUGGGCGUAAAGCGAGCGCAGGCGGUUCUUUAAGUCUGAUGUGAAAGCCCCCGGCUCAACCGGGGAGGGUCAUUGGAAACUGGAGAACUUGAGUGCAGAAGAGGAGAGUGGAAUUCCACGUGUAGCGGUGAAAUGCGUAGAUAUGUGGAGGAACACCAGUGGCGAAGGCGACUCUCUGGUCUGUAACUGACGCUGAGGCUCGAAAGCGCGGGGAGCAAACAGG
rnacentral:rRNA from 1 species